UGAACGCUGGCGGCAUGCUUUCCACAUGCACGUCGAACGGCAGCGCGGGCUUCGGCCUGGCGGCGAGUGGCGAACGGGUGAGUAAUGCAUCGGAACGUGCCCAGUAGUGGGGGAUAGCCCGGCGAAAGCCGGAUUAAUACCGCAUACGACCUGAGGGUGAAAGCGGGGGACCGAAAGGCCUCGCGCUAUUGGAGCGGCCGAUGUCGGAUUAGCUAGUUGGUGGGGUAAAGGCUUACCAAGGCGACGAUCCGUAGCUGGUCUGAGAGGACGACCAGCCACACUGGGACUGAGACACGGCCCAGACUCCUACGGGAGGCAGCAGUGGGGAAUUUUGGACAAUGGGGGCAACCCUGAUCCAGCCAUGCCGCGUGCGGGAAGAAGGCCUUCGGGUUGUAAACCGCUUUUGUUCGGGAAGAAAUCCUCUGGGCUAAUACCCCGGGGGGAUGACGGUACCGGAAGAAUAAGCACCGGCUAACUACGUG
rnacentral:rRNA from 1 species